UACAGAGGGUGCGAGCGUUAAUCGGAAUUACUGGGCGUAAAGCGUGCGUAGACGGUAGCGUAAGUCAGAUGUGAAAGCCCCGGGCUCAACCUGGGAACUGCAUUUGAGACUGCUCUGCUCGGGUGCGGAAGAGGGAAGCGGAAUUUCCGGUGUAGCGGUGAAAUGCGUAGAUAUCGGAAGGAACACCAGUGGCGAAAGCGGCUUCCUGGUCCGACACCGACGUUCAGGCACGAAAGCUGGGGGAGCAAACAGG
rnacentral:rRNA from 1 species